rnacentral:misc_RNA from 1 species
UUAAAUGCCUUUGUAAUGAAUAUGAAAUAAAUAACAUAAAAAUAGGAUUUUGAGAUUCGAACGUAACAUUCGGAUGAACAAUAAAAUAUUUUCGUGCGACGUACUUUAUACUUCCAGUGACGAUACACUCAAAAAUCAUUUUCGUUACUAUUAGGUCAUCCCAUAAGUUCGUGCCGACUUUUGUGUAUACAUUUCAUGUGUCGAUUUAUAAACAUACGGCGAUAAGGGACCAAUGCACUUGAAAAAUGGGAAGAAGUUGUACAACGAGAGGGCGAUUACAUUUUUUCAUGAAACUGAAAGGUAUGUAAACAAUCUUAACAUAUAUAAUCGCUCGAAAAACGGAACGAACUUAUGGGAUGACCUAAUAUUUAUGUUAG